rnacentral:misc_RNA from 1 species
GAAAUGCGAUACGUAAUGCGAAUUGCAGAAUUCAGUGAAUCAUCGAAUUUUUGAACGCAAAUUGCGCUUUCGGGAUAGGCCUGAAAGCAUGUUUCUUUGAGCCUCGUGUCUAAACCACCUCGGCUGCGUGCCGGAUAAUGGAAGUCCCAUUCUUCAUGGAAUGAUGGGUCUUCUUAAGCUUAUUAAAUCCAUGGCUUGCCCGCCUCAGUGAAGUUUCUUCUGCUUAGCGGCGCGAUUAAAAGUGCAAACUUCUUUCUCGUUUCUUCGCAAUCGAAACCGUCCCAUUUGGUUGGACAUUCCAUUGAUUAAUUCGGAAAAACUUUUUGACUUAGAGCUCAAAUGAAGCAAGAUAACCCGCUGAACUUAA